CGUGGCUGUCGCUGAUCCCUUCAAGGGGUCGUGCACGCCUCGAGCGUUCCUCCCACACCCUACAUCCAUCUCACCUCUGUGCAUCGCCGCGUGAGCUCCGCGCAAAGGGGCUUGCGUUUCUUUUUCCAUACAGACCCUGGUGUAGAAUGUCCCUUUUGCGAUUAGUACGCAAUCAAUACAACUUUCAACAACGGAUCUCUUGGCUCUCGCAUCGAUGAAGAACGCAGCGAAAUGCGAUACGUAAUGUGAAUUGCAGAAUUCAGUGAAUCAUCGAAUCUUUGAACGCACCUUGCGCCCCUUGGCAUUCCGAGGGGCACACCCGUUUGAGUGUCGUGAAAUUCUCAACCCUUACCCUUUCUUUUGAUUGGGGGGAAGGCUUGGACUUUGGAGGCUCCUGCCGGUCUCUCUUUACCCGAGGCCGGCUCCUCUUAAAUGGAUUAGCAGGGUCACCUUUCGCCGAUCCUCGGACGUGAUAAACCACUUCUACGUCCCCCGGAUUCGGUUUCUCUUGCCUUGCUUCUAAUCGUCUUUGACGAAUCUAAUCCUUUUGACCUCAAAUCGGGUGAGACUACCCGCUGAACUUAAGCAUA
rnacentral:rRNA from 1 species